UACGAAGGGUGCAAACGUUGCUCGGAAUCAUUGGGCGUAAAGCGCACGUAGGCGGCCUCGCAAGUUGGAUGUGAAAUCCCUCGGCUCAACCGAGGACGUGCAUCCAAAACUGCUUGGCUUGAGUACUGAAGAGGAUCGCGGAAUUCCCGGUGUAGGAGGUAGAAAUUCGUAGAUAGUCGGGAGGAACACCAGUGGCGAAGGCGGCGAUCGUGGGCAGAUACUGACGCUGAGGUGCGAAAGCGUGGGGAGCAAACAGG
rnacentral:rRNA from 1 species